UACGUAGGUGGCAAGCGUUGUCCGGAUUUACUGGGCGUAAAGAGCGCGCAGGCGGUCGAUCAAGUCGCGUGUGAAAGCCCCCGGCUCAACUGGGGAGGGUCACGCGAUACUGAUCGACUCGAAGGCAGGAGAGGGUAGUGGAAUUCCCGGUGUAGUGGUGAAAUGCGCAGAUAUCAGGAAGAACACCCGUGGCGAAGGCGGCCAUCUGGACCGCAACUGACGCUGAGGCACGAAAGCGUGGGGAGCAAACAGG
rnacentral:rRNA from 1 species